GGAGGGUCCAAGCGUUAUCCGGAAUCAUUGGGUUUAAAGGGUCCGUAGGCGGUUUUGUAAGUCAGUGGUGAAAGCCCAUCGCUCAACGGUGGAACGGCCAUUGAUACUGCAAGACUUGAAUUAUUAGGAAGUAACUAGAAUAUGUAGUGUAGCGGUGAAAUGCUUAGAGAUUACAUGGAAUACCAAUUGCGAAGGCAGGUUACUACUAAUAUAUUGACGCUGAUGGACGAAAGCGUGGGGAGCGAACAGGAUUAGAUACCCUGGUAGUCCACGCCGUAAACGAUGGAUACUAGCUGUUCGGAGCAAUCUGAGUGGCUAAGCGAAAGUGAUAAGUAUCCCACCUGGGGAGUACGUUCGCAAGAAUG
rnacentral:rRNA from 1 species